UACGUAGGGCGCAAGCGUUGUCCGGAAUUAUUGGGCGUAAAGAGCUCGUAGGCGGCUUGUCACGUCGGGUGUGAAAGCCCGGGGCUUAACCCCGGGUCUGCAUUCGAUACGGGCUGGCUAGAGUGUGGUAGGGGAGACCGGAAUUCCUGGUGUAGCGGUGAAAUGCGCAGAUAUCAGGAGGAACACCGGUGGCGAAGGCGGAUCUCUGGGAAUGACCUGACGCUGAGGAGCGAAAGUGUGGGGAGCGAACAGG
rnacentral:rRNA from 1 species